AUCCGACCGCACAACGUCAGUGAGGAGCUUGCCACUGCAGAUAUGCCUAUGAUCUAUAUGCUGUAUGGUCCUGGGUUCACUGCCACAGGGAAUCGGAUGUCACAAUAAACUGCCACCAGGUGCAAUGCCAGCAGGCAUUGUUGCAACAACUCACCUUGAGUACUGACUCCAUGUUACGACUCUAUGGUGUGACACUCGCUGAAUAGUUCAGACCACUGGUUCGAGCUAUACCGUCCGCCUGUUAGCGGAGCCCGAUCAUCAUCGUCCGCUUCGCAGCUGGGUUGGGACUGAGCGGAGACCAUCAUGAAGACCUGGAAUGAAACAAACACAUAUUGGACAUUUAAACUGCAACAACAAAUUACCAUGUAAGUUUUCCAAUCGGAUAGAUCUACUACUGGAGAGAUUGGAAACUAUUCAGGAGGCAUAUAUGGGUUAUAGACCUGAAGCAUAUGGUUCCCACAUGAUAAAUAAUAACAUGCACCAUGACGUCAUUUUGAGGGUAUACCCUCCGGUAUUUGUCACCGCAGGUUAAACAUACAAUUUACUUUUUGAUUUUGUCCAUUGCUUUUUCAUGGCUUUGUUAUUAAAAUGGAUGUGCCACGUCUCUCAAAAUCUUUGUAAUUCGUGUAAAGCGAGAUUGAUGCAUCAUGAUGUCCUUGUGAAUUUGAAUAAAGGUGCAUUAACAUCUCCCAACGUCUUUAUCCCAGACCUGACACGUGUCUUACUCGUGCGUGUGCAAGCUUCGCCAUUAGACAAGGACAGAAGGCGACAGCCGGCUUCAUGGGGAAUCGAGAGGCCGACAUGGCUUUCACAUGUUAUUCCAUCACAAAGUAAUCCCGAGCACGCACCACGAAUCCUGGAAGAACAAGCCUCACGGGCCCAACAAAUGCGCUGCGGUUUCGAGGCAGCCCCCAAACAGGUUCGUUUAAUUGUCACUUUGUCAACCCCACACCCUCUGAAUCACCAGUAAUGAUAUUUCACAGGUAUCACCGCACAGAUAAGUUACAACAACCAUGGCACCCGCUCGUGGUGUACAAAUGUCUCAUCGUGUGUGGUUUUGUUUGAGCUUGUACGUCCAGGAUCCAAGGCUGUGGAAUUGUUGUGGUUGUGUUAAUGUGGUUUAACCGAUGACUGCAAACUCCAAACAGUUGUGCUUAAAAAAGAAGUUUAUGCACCUUAACCUGCCUGAAUCCACC
rnacentral:lncRNA from 1 species